UUUAACUAGGGUUUGAGAAAAGCCUAGCGCCGCCACUAAAAUCACUCUCUCUCUUUGUCAUCCUCUAUCCAAAUUUGGCAAGUUUCAGAGCCACCAGGAUUUUGCCGGGCCUGGCAUGGCUGUUUGAGGCAAUGCAUUCAAUGAUACCGUCCUAUCUCCACCACAGUUGGAUCCAAACAAGGAAGUACAAAGGCUCCAAGUCCAUUCUCGAUAUUCGGCUGCACUUCAAAAAGAUUGUGAUAUAGAGACCAUUGCUCAUCCUCACAUCUAGCGUGGAGGACAUUUGUUGACAGAUUUUGGGUGAGCUUCUUCCCAUGUCAGGCCGCUCGAAGAUCUUCUUGCUAUGAUGUCUUUUCGUACUCUGGAUAUUAUAGAUUACUUACUUGUUAGACUUCAGAUUCUUCGACAAGUUUUUAGCUUAGAGUCUUGUACGAUGACUUUCAGAUUUUGGGGAUUGUAAUAGUUAUAACUUCCACACUUAUUUCAGUAUUUAUGGCAUGACUUAUCUUGUUCUUUUA